AUCAGGGGUGAUCUUUCGGAUGCUGAUCUAAGAGGGGCAGACUUUUCAUUGGCAAAUGUGACAAAGGUAAAUCUAAGCAAUGCAACUUGGAAGGGGCACUUACGACUGGGAACACAUCUUUCAAGGGAUCAAUCAUAACUGGUGCUGACUUUACAGAUGUGCCUUUGAGAGAUGAUCAACGGGAAUACCUUUGCAAAGUUGCAGAUGGGGUAAAUUCAACAACCGGCAAUGCAACGCGUGACACAUUACUUUGCAACUAGAAUUUCUUUACUCAUGUACAGAG